rnacentral:rRNA from 1 species
AAAAACUCCGGUGGUGUAAGAUGGAUCCGCGUCUGAUUAGCUGGUUGGCGGGGUAGAAGCCCACCAAGGCGACGAUCAAUAGCCGGCCUGAGAGGGUGAACGGCCACAUUGGGACUGAGACACGGCCCAAACUCCUACGGGAGGCAGCAGUGGGGAAUAUUGCACAAUGGGGGAAACCCUGAUGCAGCAACGCCGCGUGAGUGAAGAAGUCAUUCGUGAUGUAAAGCUCUAUCAGCAGGGAAGAAAAUGACGGUACCUGAGUAAGAAGCCCCGGCUAACUACGUGCCAGCAGCCGCGGUAAUACGUAGGGGGCAAGCGUUAUCCGGAUUUACUGGGUGUAAAGGGAGCGUAGACGGCCAGACAAGUCUGAAGUGAAAAUCCAGCGCUUAACGUUGGAAGUGCUUUGGAAACUGCCGGGCUAGAGUGCAGGAGGGGCAGGCGGAAUUCCUAGUGUAGCGGUGAAAUGCGUAGAUAUUAGGAGGAACACCAGUGGCGAAGGCGGCCUGCUGGACUGCAACUGACGUUGAGGCUCGAAGGCGUGGGGAGCAAACAGGAUUAGAUACCCUGGUAGUCCACGCGGUAAACGAUGAUUACUAGGUGUCGGGGGGCUAGAGCCCUUCG